rnacentral:rRNA from 1 species
AUGAACAGGACAAUUGUGGAGAGAGUUAGAUGCUUGUUGUCAAGUGCAAAACUACGUAAACACUUUUGGGGUGAGGCUUUGAUGACUGCAGUUUAUCUUAUUAAUCUCUCACCAAGUUAUCCUUUGCAGGGAGAUGUUCCUAACAGGGUUUGGUGUGACAAGGACCUCUCAUAUGACCACCUGAAGGUUUUUAGGUGCAAGGCCUUUGUUCAUAUUCCUCAAGAUGAAAGGUCAAAGCUUGAUUCAAAGACACGGCAGUGUAUCUUUCUUGGUUAUGGUGGUGAUGAGUUUGGCUACAAGUUGUUUGACCCUAUAGCAAGGAAAGUUGUGAGAAGCCGUGAUGUUGUGUUUGUUGAAGACCAAACAAUUGAGGAUAUUGUGAAGACAAAGGGGCAGGUUCCUCCUCAGCAGCAGCAAGACAUGAUUGAUUCUGACCCAGUUCCUGCAGCUCCAGCUCCUAUGCAAGUUGAAGUAGAUGCAGAAGAUGUACAAGAUGAUGUACAUGGUGGUGCAGGUGAAGAAGAUGCUCCCCAGCAGUAG